AAAUCAUUUCCCCGCCCCCUCUUUCCCUCACUCUCCCUCCCUCCCGAGUCCCGACACAUCCCACCUCACUCCCUCACUCCCGACAUCUCCGUUGCCUCGCUGCCGCCGCCGCCGCCGCCGCUUCUCUCACAUCUCUACAUCUAUCUGAUGUCUCGAUCACAUCUCUCACAUCUCUCUUUGUUCAAUUUCAAUUAGGGUUCCAACGGCCCCAAAUUGAAUUAAUUUCAAUUAGCACCACGAUCUGGAGGUUUGGAGGCUUGAAAAGGUUUGUUUUCUAUGAGAGAGAGGGACUUCCUGCAAUGUGUGUGUGCGUGAUACUGAUAUAUAUAGCCGGAAGAGACUAGCUGUAAUCUGUGUAUAGAUAUGUAAUAUAUGUACAUAUAUAUGUUAGGAAUUUCUGACUUAUUGUUCAAUUUUUGAGAUGAAUGUUUAUUUGUAUUGGAAUCUAUUAAAUUAUUGCUGAAUUAAUUGUUGAUGUGUGUAAGUACUCUGUUUUUUAUUUAACAGGGGUUUUGUUUUUUAUUUAAGAGGGGUUUUGUUAUCUUCUCAACUGUAUGUUGUUUUUUGUAAUGCUUGCUGAUGCUGUGUAUGUAAGAGCUUUAGAAGAUUGCCUUCUCCGAAUUCCUCCAAAUAGUUUCUCAAAGGAAGAAAAUUGAAAUUUUUAAUGCUGGAGGCAGAGUGCGUGUUCGGUAAACAUUUUACUUUGUUGUUUCCAUGUAAAUAUAUAUUUGGUAAUAUAAGGAAGCCUGCUUCUCAUGUUUGCAGACAUCAGGUUUUGUACCGGAGUCGCAAAAAUUGCUUCAUAGUCAAGCUGCUAAAGCACCAGUUUUCAUUAUAUCAUCUACAGGAUAAAACUAGAAGCAGCUCGCAUUCUCCGUUAAACAAGAAGUGGCUGCAGAACUUGCUCAACAGUUGCCAGCAUUGUCCGCUAAACAAGUAGCAGAUGCUUUUGUGCUCCCACCAUAUUCUUCGUGCAUAUCGUGCAGUUGUUCAUAAGUUUUGAUUUAAAUAUGUUUUGCUUGAUUGGAAGAAAGUUGGAUUGUAGUUGGUAGGUACCUAAGUUUUUUGGAUUUGAAAUUGGAGAUGUGGAUAUAUAUAUAUAUAUAUGGCUGUUUUUGUGAUCUAUUUCAUAGUAUGUAUCUUGUUUGUAUAUGAUUUGGUAUAUCUUG